rnacentral:rRNA from 1 species
CCUACGGGAGGCAGCAGUGGGGAAUAUUGCGCAAUGGGGGAAACCCUGACGCAGCAACGCCGCGUGAGUGAGGAAGGACUUCGGUCUGUAAAGCUCUGUUAAUGAGGAAAAAUGGUAGUUGGUCUAAUAGGCCGAUUAUUUGAUGGUACUCAUAGAGGAAGCACCGGCUAACUUCGUGCCAGCAGCCGCGGUAAUACGAAGGGUGCAAGCGUUGUUCGGAUUUAUUGGGCGUAAAGCGCGCGUAGGCGGACCCGCAAGUCAGAUGUGAAAUCUCGAGGCUCAACCUCGAAACUGCGUCUGAAACUACGGGUCUAGAAUCUCGGAGGGGGAAGGGGAAUUUCGCAUGUAGGGGUAAAAUCCGUAGAUAUGCGAAGGAACACCAGAGGCGAAGGCGCCUUCCUGGACGAGUAUUGACGCUGAGGCGCGAAAGCGUGGGGAUCAAACAGGAUUAGAUACCCUGGUAGUCCACGCUGUAAACGAUGAACACUAGGUAUUGGAGGAUUUGACCCCUUCAGUGCCGUAGCUAACGCGUUAAGUGUUCCGCCUGGGAAGUACGGUCGCAAGCUAAAACUUAAGGAAUUGACGG